rnacentral:pre_miRNA from 1 species
UCUUUGGGAUGAUCAAAGGAAGUAGUUUCUUGAGAUAGAAUCCGCUGCUGGUGAAGAUGCUAUGAA